rnacentral:piRNA from 1 species
UGAAAGAAUUCAGAGGAAGCAGACUGUAGU